rnacentral:rRNA from 1 species
UUUCCGUAGGUGAACCUGCGGAAGGAUCAUUACCGAGUUGAUUCGAGCUCCGGCUCGACUCUCCCACCCCAUGUGUACCUACCUCUGUUGCUUUGGCGGGCCGCGGUCCUCCGCACCGACCCCCGUUCGGGGGCCGGCCAGCGCCCGCCAGAGGACCACAAAACUCCAGUCAGUAAACGUCGCAGUCUGAGAAACAAGUUAAUAAACUAAAACUUUCAACAACGGAUCUCUUGGUUCUGGCAUCGAUGAAGAACGCAGCGAAAUGCGAUAAGUAAUGUGAAUUGCAGAAUUCAGUGAAUCAUCGAAUCUUUGAACGCACAUUGCGCCCCUUGGUAUUCCGAGGGGCAUGCCUGUUCGAGCGUCAUUUCAACCCUCAAGCUCUGCUUGGUAUUGGGCUCCGUCCUCCGCGGACGCGCCUCGAAGACCUCGGCGGUGGCGUCUUGCCUCAAGCGUAGUAGAAAACACCUCGCUUUGGAGCGCAUGGCGUCGCCCGCCGGACGAACCUUUGAAUUUUUCUCAAGGUUGACCUCGGAUCAGGUAGGGAUACCCGCUGAACUUAA